rnacentral:rRNA from 1 species
GGGAAUCUACCUAGUUCUGCGGAACAACAGUUGGAAACGACUGCUAAUACCGCAUACGCCCUACGGGGGAAAGAUUUAUCGGAAUUAGAUGAGCCCGCGUAAGAUUAGCUAGUUGGUGGGGUAAUGGCCUACCAAGGCGACGAUCUUUAGCUGGUCUGAGAGGAUGAUCAGCCACACUGGGACUGAGACACGGCCCAGACUCCUACGGGAGGCAGCAGUGGGGAAUAUUGGACAAUGGGCGCAAGCCUGAUCCAGCCAUGCCGCGUGAGUGAUGAAGGCCUUAGGGUUGUAAAGCUCUUUCAGUGGGGAAGAUAAUGACGGUACCCACAGAAGAAGCCCCGGCUAACUUCGUGCCAGCAGCCGCGGUAAUACGAAGGGGGCUAGCGUUGUUCGGAUUACUGGGCGUAAAGCGCACGUAGGCGGAUUGUUAAGUCAGGGGUGAAAUCCUGGAGCUCAACUCCAGAACUGCCUUUGAUACUGGCAAUCUCGAGUCCGGAAGAGGUGAGUGGAACUCCUAGU